UACGUAGGGGGCAAGCGUUGUCCGGAUUUAUUGGGCGUAAAGAGCGUGUAGGCGGCUUGGUAGGUCUCGCGUCAAAACCUGAGGCUCAACCUCAGUUCGCGUGGGAAACCACCUAGCUAGAGUCCGGAAGAGGAGAACGGAAUUCCCAGUGUAGCGGUGAAAUGCGCAGAUAUUGGGAAGAACACCAGUGGCGAAGGCGGCUCUCUGGGGUGCACCUGACGCUGAUGCGCGAAAGCGUGGGGAGCGAACCGG
rnacentral:rRNA from 1 species